AGUCGAGCGGACUUUUAAAGCUUGCUUUUGAAAGGUCAGCGGCGGACGGGUGAGUAACACGUGGGCAACCUGCCUGUAAGACUGGGAUAACUUCGGGAAACCGGAGCUAAUACCGGAUAAUAUAAGGAACCUCCUGGUUCUUUAUUGAAAGAUGGUUUCGGCUAUCACUUACAGAUGGGCCCGCGGCGCAUUAGCUAGUUGGUGAGGUAAUGGCUCACCAAGGCGACGAUGCGUAGCCGACCUGAGAGGGUGAUCGGCCACACUGGGACUGAGACACGGCCCAGACUCCUACGGGAGGCAGCAGUAGGGAAUCUUCCACAAUGGACGAAAGUCUGAUGGAGCAACGCCGCGUGAGCGAUGAAGGCCUUCGGGUCGUAAAGCUCUGUUGUUAGGGAAGAACAAGUGCGAGAGUAACUGCUCGCACCUUGACGGUACCUAACCAGAAAGCCACGGCUAACUACGUGCCAGCAGCCGCGGUAAUACGUAGGUGGCAAGCGUUGUCCGGAAUUAUUGGGCGUAAAGCGCGCGCAGGUGGUCCUUUAAGUCUGAUGUGAAAGCCCACGGCUCAACCGUGGAGGGUCAUUGGAAA
rnacentral:rRNA from 3 species